rnacentral:tRNA from 1 species
ACUCUAAUGGGCGUAGUGGUAACGCACCCAACUAGAGAUCGGGGUGUCGUGAGUUCGAUUCUCACUGAGAAGA